UACGGGGGGGGCAAGCGUUGUUCGGAAUUACUGGGCGUAAAGGGCUCGUAGGCGGCCAACUAAGUCAGACGUGAAAUCCCUCGGCUUAACCGGGGAACUGCAUCUGAUACUGGAUGGCUUGAGAUUGGGAGAGGGAUGCGGAAUUCCAGGUGUAGCGGUGAAAUGCGUAGAUAUCUGGAGGAACACCGGUGGCGAAGGCGGCAUCCUGGACCAACACUGACGCUGAGACGCGAAAGCGUGGGGAGCAAAAAGG
rnacentral:rRNA from 1 species